GUGUUUUGGAGUGAUUUUUACGACGACGAUGAGUACGGAAUAAAAAUUGAUUACUCUGAUAAUAUAAGGAAUAAGCAUUCCGUGAAAAAUGUUAAAAACGUCGUACGACAGUCCAAGGAUUGGUUCCGACGUGGAUUCAAGAAUUUGACGCAAAAAAUUAAAGGAAGGUUCACAAAGAAACCUAAAACGACUGCCAAGAAAAUUACCACUAGUCCUUCUAAACGUACUUCAAGGCUAAGAUAUGUACGACAGACGAAUAACAACGGAGACGCAGAUAUAAAAAAAAGUUUCGCUGAUCUAACGGCUAAUAUGAAAAAAGUUUUCCAUGAAGCUG
rnacentral:misc_RNA from 1 species